UACGUAGGGGCCAAGCGUUAUCCGGAAUCACUGGGCGUAAAGCGUGCGUAGGUGGCGCGUUAAGUGAGAUGUUAAAUCGUGGGGCUCAACCCUGUCGUUGCAUCUCAUACUGGCGUGCUAGAGGACAGCAGAGGCAAGUGGAAUUAGCAGUGUAGCAGUGAAAUGCGUAGAUAUUGCUAGGAACACCGAUGGCGAAGGCAGCUUGCUGGGCUACUCCUGACACUGAUGUACGAAAGCGUGGGGAGCGAACAGG
rnacentral:rRNA from 1 species